rnacentral:rRNA from 1 species
AUGGAGGGGAUCCUACAUUGGGACUUUGGCCCCGGCCUUGCUUUGGCCGACCAGGUGAGAAGAAAUUUUGGCUCUACGGUUCAUUUCUCUCCCUCUCGAGACCGCAAAGAGUUCUUCUUGGUGGUUUCCUUCUCCUCAGCAUCUUUCCCACUCUCUCCCGAUUCUGUGGGAAUUGCUUUACAAUGUUGCAUUGGU